UACGUAGGUCCCGAGCGUUGUCCAGAUUUAUUGGGUGUAAAGGGCGUGUAGGCGGGAAUGCAAGUCAGAUGUGAAAACUCAGGGCUCAACCCUGAGCCUGCAUUUGAAACUGUAUUUCUUGAGUGCUGGAGAGGCAAUCGGAAUUCCGUGUGUAGCGGUGAAAUGCGUAGAUAUACGGAGGAACACCAGUGGCGAAGGCGGAUUGCUGGACAGUAACUGACGCUGAGGCGCGAAAGCGUGGGGAGCAAACAGG
rnacentral:rRNA from 1 species